rnacentral:rRNA from 1 species
UACGGAAGGCAGCAGUGGGGAAUAUUGCACAAUGGGCGAAAGCCUGAUGCAGCUAUGCCGCGUGUAUGAAGAAGGCCUUAGGGUUGUAAAGUACUUUCAGCAGGGAGGAAAGAAUAAAACUAAUAAUUUUAUUUUGUGACGUUACCUGAAGAAGAAGCACCGGCUAACUCCGUGCCAGCAGCCGCGGUAAUACGGAGGGUGCAAGCGUUAAUCAGAAUUACUGGGCGUAAAGAGCGCGUAGGUGGUUUUUUUAAGUCAGAUGUGAAAUCCCUAGGCUUAACCUAGGAACUGCAUUUUGAAACUGAAAACUAGAGUAUCGUAGAGGGAGGUAGAAUUCUAGGUGUAGCGGUGAAAUGCGUAGAUAUCUGGAGGAAUACCUGUGGCGAAAGCGGCCUCUAACGAUACUGACACUGAGGUGCGAAAGCGUGGGGAGCAAACAGGGAUUAGAUACC